rnacentral:rRNA from 1 species
UGAACGCUGGCGGCGCGCCUAAUACAUGCAAGUCGAGCGAGAAGACGUAGCAAUACGUUUGUAAAGCGGCGAACGGGUGAGGAAUACAUGGGUAACCUACCCUCGAGUGGGGAAUAACUAGCCGAAAGGUUAGCUAAUACCGCGUACGCUCCUUGGACUUCGGUUCAGGGAGGAAAGCGAUACCGUGGGUAUCGCGCUCUUGGUUGGGCUCAUGUCCUAUCAGCUUGUUGGUGAGGUAACGGCUCACCAAGGCUUCGACGGGUAGCUGGUCUGAGAGGACGAUCAGCCACACUGGCACUGCGACACGGGCCAGACUCCUACGGGAGGCAGCAGUAAGGAAUAUUGCGCAAUGGGCGAAAGCCUGACGCAGCGACGCCGCGUGGGGGAUGAAGGUCUUCGGAUUGUAAACCCCUUUCGGGAGGGAAGAUGGAACGAGCAAUCGUUCGGACGGUACCUCCAGAAGCAGCCACGGCUAACUUCGUGCCAGCAGCCGCGGUAAUACGAAGGUGGCAAGCGUUAUUCGGAUUUACUGGGCGUACAGGGAGCGUAGGCGGUUCGGUAAGCCCUCUGUGAAAUCUCCAGGCUUAACCUGGAACAGUCGGAGGGGACUGCUGGGCUAGAGGACGGGAGAGGAGCGCGGAAUUCCCGGUGUAGCGGUGAAAUGCGUAGAGAUCGGGAGGAAGGCCGGUGGCGAAGGCGGCGCUCUGGAACGUUUCUGACGCUGAGGCUCGAAAG